CUAGAGCUAAUACAUGCUAAAAAUCCCGACUUCGGAAGGGAUGUAUUUAUUAGAUUAAAAACCAAUGCCCUUCGGGGCUCACUGGUGAUUCAUGAUAACUCCUCGAAUCGCAUGGCCUUGUGCCGGCGAUGGUUCAUUCAAAUUUCUUCCCUAUCAACUUUCGAUGUUUGGGUAUUGGCCAAACAUGGUUGCAACGGGUAACGGAGGGUUAGGGCUCGACCCCGGAGAAGGAGCCUGAGAAACGGCUACUACAUCCAAGGAAGGCAGCAGGCGCGCAAAUUACCCAAUCCCGACACGGGGAGGUAGUGACAAUAAAUACUGAUACAGGGCUCUUUUGGGUCUUGUAAUUGGAAUGAGUACAAUUUAAAUCCCUUAACGAGGAACAAUUGGAGGGCAAGUCUGGUGCCAGCAGCCGCGGUAAUUCCAGCUCCAAUAGCGUAUAUUAAAGUUGUUGUGGUUAAAAAGCUCGUAGUUGAACCUUGGGCCUGGCUGGCCGGUCCGCCUCACCGCGUGUACUGGUCCGGCCGGGCCUUUCCCUCUGUGGAACCCCAUGCCCUUCACUGGGUGUGGCGGGGAAACAGGACUUUUACUGUGAAAAAAUUAGAGUGCUCCAGGCAGGCCUAUGCUCGAAUACAUUAGCAUGGAAUAAUAGAAUAGGACGUGUGGUUCUAUUUUGUUGGUUUCUAGGACCGCCGUAAUGAUUAAUAGGGACAGUCGGGGGCAUCAGUAUUCAAUUGUCAGAGGUGAAAUUCUUGGAUUUAUUGAAGACUAACUACUGCGAAAGCAUUUGCCAAGGAUGUUUUCAUUAAUCAGGAACGAAAGUUAGGGGAUCGAAGACGAUCAGAUACCGUCGUAGUCUUAACCAUAAACUAUGCC
rnacentral:rRNA from 1 species